AUGAACGCUGGCGGCGUGCCUAAUACAUGCCAGUCGCGCGAACAGACGAGGAGCUUGCUCCUCUGACGUUAGCGGCGGACGGGUGAGUAACCCGUGGAUAACCUACCUAUAAGACUGGGAUAACUUCGGGAAACCGGAGCUAAUACCGGAUAAUAUAUUGAACCGCAUGGUUCAAUAGUGAAAGACGGUUUUGCUGUCACUUAUAGAUGGAUCCGCGCCGCAUUAGCUAGUUGGUAAGGUAACGGCUUACCAAGGCAACGAUGCGUAGCCGACCUGAGAGGGUGAUCGGCCACACUGGAACUGAGACACGGUCCAGACUCCUACGGGAGGCAGCAGUAGGGAAUCUUCCGCAAUGGGCGAAAGCUUGACGGAGCAACGCCGCGUGAGUGAUGAAGGUCUUCGGAUCGUAAAACUCUGUUAUUAGGGAAGAACAAAUGUGUAAGUAACUAUGCACGUCUUGACGGUACCUAAUCAGAAAGCCACGGCUAACUACGUG
rnacentral:rRNA from 1 species